ensembl:lncRNA
AUGUGUAUGAAAUAUUUUCAAUAUCCCCCAAAAAUGUAUUGUUUUACACCUCCCUUUGUAUUUACUUCAGGAGGGGAGAGCAUUGUUUCAGCCAGCUGUGAGUCCUAUGCCAAUGGCCAGAGCCAGGCGUACCCUCAGCAACGGGAGUCCUUCGUGCUUUCUCAAUCCAACAUCCCUGCUGCUGCUUUGGCAAUUAUGGCCCACACCAAAAUGUUCCCAAUUAGUCAGAGCAGAGGAGUUCCGAAUGUGCUUAUUGGUCAGAGUAGUGGGAUUUCCGGCAUGUCCAUUGGCCAAAGUGGUGGUGGGGCUCCUGAUGGUCAGCAGACUUACGUUCAGCCUGUUGCCAUGCCAACACAGGUUUCACCAGAUAUACCACAGCAGUAUUCACAGUCAUACCACUCAGAUGGGUCACAGAUUGCACAAAUGGCCCCUUCGCUGUCCUACGCACCCCCAGUCUCCCCCCAAGCCCAGCUCAACAUCCUCCCAGCUCCUAUGUUAGCGGGGGACCCAACAGGACGAGUGGGGGCCAUGGUCCCUCUCCCACAACAGGCCCAGGCCAACGUCACUCCCAAUGUCAUCCAGAUGACACCCCAGCCUUUAACCCAGCAAGCACUGCCUGACAUGAUCCCACAGCAGCAGACCAUUGUUCAACAACAACAACAACAACAGAUACUGAUUGAGCAACAGCAGCAGCAGCAAAUGGAGGCUCAACAAGCCGCCCUGCUUCAGCAUCAUCAACAACAACAUCAACAACAGGCCAGUGUAAUUCCCCAGAACCAGGCGGUACAGCAACAGAUGGAACAACAGCAGCAGCAACAGCAGACUAUAGCAAUCCAACAGCAGCAAACUACUGAGCCACAGCAGCAAGUGUAUGUGCAGCAAGCUUUGGUUCAGCAGCAUCAGGCCUUACUACAACAACAACAACAAUCAAUGGAACAACAGCAGCAUCAGGCCUUACUACUACAACAACAACAAUCAAUGGAACAACAGCAGCAUCAGGCCUUACUACUACAACAACAACAAUCAAUGGAACAACAGCAGCAUCAGGCCUUACUACAACAACAACAACAAUCAAUGGAACAACAGCAGCAUCAGGCCUUACUACAACAACAACAACAAUCAAUGGAACAACAGCAGCAUCAGGCCUUAUUACAACAACAACAACAAUCAAUGGAACAACAGCAGCAUCAGGCCUUACUACAACAACAACAACAAUCAAUGGAACAACAGCAGCAUCAGGCCUUACUACAACAACAACAACAAUCAAUGGAACAACAGCAGCAUCAGGCCUUAUUACAACAACAACAACAAUCAAUGGAACAACAGCAGCAUCAGGCCUUACUACAACAACAACAACAAUCAAUGGAACAACAGCAGCAUCAGGCCUUACUACAACAACAACAACAAUCAAUGGAACAACAGCAGCAUCAGGCCUUACUACAACAACAACAACAAUCAAUGGAACAACAGCAGCAUCAGGCCUUACUACUACAACAACAACAAUCAAUGGAACAACAGCAGCAUCAGGCCUUACUACAACAACAACAACAAUCAAUGGAACAACAGCAGCAUCAGGCCUUACUACAACAACAACAACAAUCAAUGGAACAACAGCAGCAUCAGGCCUUACUACAACAACAACAACAAUCAAUGGAACAACAGCAGCAUCAGGCCUUACUACAACAACAACAACAAUCAAUGGAACAACAGCAGCAUCAGGCCUUACUACAACAACAACAACAACAACAAUCAAUGGAACAACAGCAGCAUCAGGCCUUAUUACAACAACAACAACAAUCAAUGGAACAACAGCAGCAUCAGGCCUUACUACAACAACACCAACAAUCAAUGGAACAACAGCAGCAUCAGGCCUUAUUACAACAACAACAACAAUCAAUGGAACAACAGCAGCAUCAGGCCUUACUACAACAACAACAACAAUCAAUGGAACAACAGCAGCAUCAGGCCUUACUACAACAACAACAACAAUCAAUGGAACAACAGCAGCAGCAACAACAGGGAUUGUCAUUGCAGCAACAGCAAUUGGAUCAAACCCAAGCCUAUGCGCAACCACCGCAAAUUGACGUACAACAGCAGCAACAACUGCAGCAGCAGCAACAGCAGAAAAUAUUGUUACUACACCAACAACACCAGAUAGAACAUCAGCAACAACAACAAGCAAUGUUACUAGAGCAACAACAGCAAGUGUACAUACAACAGCAGCUUGAGCAACAGCAGCAACAGGCUUUGCUACAACAGCAACAACAGGCGCAACUACAACAGCACCAACUGGAGCAGCAGCAAGCGUUGUUACAACAGCAGAUAUUUGAGCAACAGCAGCAGCAAGCUCUGUUACAACAGCAGCAACAAGAGCAGCAGCAACAGCAAGCCUUAAAGCAACAGCAACAACAGGCACAACUACAACAGCAUCAGCUAGAGCAACAGCAAGCGCUCCUACAGCAACAACAGCAACAACAGCAACAACAACAACAACAACAACUGGAGGCUCACCAAGUGAGCCAGAUACAACAACCACAAAUGGAUUUACAACAGCUGCAACAACAACAGCAAGCUGUACUGAAACAACCGACCCAACUACAACAACAGGCGGUCGUCAGUCAUCCAGUCAACCCACAGCACCAGCAGGCUGUGCUUCAGCAACAGUUGGAACAACAGCAAGCCAUGCUACAACAGCAACAGCUUCAACAGCAACAAGUGAUUUUACAGAAGCAGCAAUUAGAGCAACAACAGCAGCAAGCUCUGUUACAACAACAGAUUGAACAACAACGGCAACAGCAGGCAUUGCUACUGCAACAACAAGCGGAGAGAAUUAACCAACAGGGUUUGUUACAACAGCAGCAGCAACAGAUUCAACAACAGCAAGAGACUGGGCAACCGCAGCAGCACCAGCAAACCACCAUAAUUCAAGUACAACAAAGCGAGAAACAAGAGACCGCUUUAAUUCUGCAACAAUGUGAGCAGCUGCAAGCAUUGAUUCAACAACAACAACCUAUCUUACUGGAGCAACAACAAGAGCAAAACCCUGCUUUGUUUCCACCUAGUCACACUAGCCUAACCCAGCAGCAACUGACAGAACAACAGCAAGUGGUGCUGAUACAACAACAACAACAACUACAACAACAACAACAAAAACAACCUAUCUUACUGGAGCAACAACAACAGGCGUACGUUGCCCAGCAACAUCAGCAGCACCAUCAGAGCUCUGUCAUUGAACCUCAGCCUCAGAUCCCCCUUAUGGCCCCAGCCAUACCAGCAGCAGAGGUUAUACAGGACAUUCAGGUCCAAGCUCAGAUGGCCGCCCAGGGUCAGGAAGUGAUACCUGUAGCCAUUCAGCUACAGAUUUCCAGCCAAGCUCUACCGGCUAUAGUGCAAGCCCAUGCCCAAGUCCUGGCCCAGAUUCAAGCUCGGAAUGAAGCUCACCCUCAGAGCCAGGGCAAUGUCUCAGUCCCAGUACUCCAAGCCCAGCCCCAGCCUCCACACCAAGUUCAGCCCCAGAUGAUCGAGGUCCAGAUUCCAUCUCACAUGGUGGCCCCAAUCCAGGCACCAAGUCCUCCCAUCCCUAUCCAGCCUCAGGUUCCUCUGGUACAGGCUCCCCAUCAGAUGCCAGCUCUAAUACAGACCCAGGCGCCAGGGCAGUCAGUCAUCCAGCAGACUCCCCAGCCUUUGCACCCAACCCAGGCCCUGACUCAGACUCAGAUUCCAGAAGUUCUUGAGGCUCAGAUGAUGCCUCCUAAGCAUCAGAGCACAGCUCUGGUCCAACCCCAACCUCCAGUCUCAAUACCCCCCAUGCAAAGCCAGGUCCAGCCUCAACCCCAGCACCAGUCUUUAGUGCAGCCCAGUGUUCAACUUCCAGAGGUGGUGCAGCCUCAACUCCAGCACCAGGCUCCGGCCGGCCUAUUGGCACCGCAGUAUGUCACUGCACUUCAGCCCACCCAACAGCAAACCAUGCAGCCAGUCCAACAGCAACAUCAGGACAUCACUCAACAACUUUUACAACAACAACAACAGCAGAUACUGAAGGAUAAACAACAGGAGAUCACUCAACAAGUACCACAACAACAACAACAGCAGAUACUGAAGGAUCAACAACAGGAGAUCACUCAACAAGUACCACAACAACAACAACAGCAGAUACUGAAGGAUAAACAACAGGAGAUCACUCAACAAGUACCACAACAACAACAACAGCAGAUACUGAAGGAUCAACAACAGGAGAUCACUCAACAAGUACCACAACAACAACAACAGCAGAUACUGAAGGAUCAACAACAGGCGAUCACUCAACAAGUACCACAACAACAACAGCAGAUACUGAAGGAUCAACAACAGGAGAUCACUCAACAAGUACCACAACAACAACAACAGCAGAUACUGAAGGAUCAACAACAGGAGAUCACUCAACAAGUACCACAACAACAACAACAGCAGAUACUGAAGGAUCAACAACAGGAGAUCACUCAACAAGUACCACAACAACAACAACAGCAGAUACUGAAGGAUCAACAACAGGAGAUCACUCAACAAGUACCACAACAACAACAACAGCAGAUACCGAAGGAUCAACAACAGGAGAUCACUCAACAAGUACCACAACAACAACAACAGCAGAUACUGAAGGAUCAACAACAGGAGAUCACUCAACAAGUACCACAACAACAACAACAGCAGAUACUGAAGGAUCAACAACAGGAGAUCACUCAACAAGUACCACAACAACAACAGCAGAUACUGAAGGAUCAACAACAGGAGAUCACUCAACAAGUACCACAACAACAACAGCAGAUACUGAAGGAUCAACAACAGGAGAUCACUCAACAAGUACCACAACAACAACAACAGCAGAUACUGAAGGAUCAACAACAGGAGAUCACUCAACAAGUACCACAACAACAACAACAGCAGAUACUGAAGGAUCAACAACAGUUCCUGCUGCAGAACCAGCAGAUGAUGCUGUCCCCUGGAUCUGUUGGAACUGUCCUUGCAGCCCCUGCAGCCAAGGUCAUAGACCCUACCACCUUGGUCUCUGCUUCGUCCCAACACAUACAACAACAGACUGGACAAGCUCCAGCCCCCAUCCAGCUGGCUCUGCUGACGCAGCCGCUACCCGCCCACACACACACCCAGACGGCCAUGCAAGCUCUCGCAAACACUCACACCCAGACACUGGCCCAGACAAAGGUCCACACCGAGACCCAGCUCGCUGAGGCCGCAUUGGGGGCUACCACCACCGAGCAACUGCACCCUCCGAAUCCCCCCCAGGCUACUUCCCUCCCUCUUCCACACAUGCCCCCCUGCCCCACUCAUACAGCAUCUCACCCCCACCCUGCCUCCCUGCCACCCCUCCGUCCUGCUACCCCUGGCCCAGAGACCCAGCCCACCCCACCAGAGAGUCAGCUAACCCUGCCUGGCCUGGCUGAUGGGCCCCCGGGACCCACUUCUCCCCCGUCUGUUGCCGCCGCUGCUGCUCAGCCCCUUGAUUCUAACGCCCCCUCGCUGCUGCCCCCAACCUCAACCUCGCUCCCAGACUGUGACCCUGCUCUGCUGAGCAUUGCUCAGGUACAGAAGUGCAUGCCACUCUACCACUACAGCAGACUGUUCCACUACUACCACUAUCUGCAGCCAAUAACCAGCCGGUUCUAG